UUGAAUGUAAACAAAUACGCAUAAUACAGCUCAUUGGAUGUAUCUCUAUAAUCUAGUAUAUUUGAAUGUAUCUCUAAUCUAUAAUAGAAAAGUAUCGUAAGUUACUUAUACCAUUCACUUUGAAAGUUCGCACCCUGUUAAAAAUCAAGAAACAGUGUGCGUUUUGUUUUCGAAACUACAUAGAACUUGUCAUUGAUGCAUCGUUUGAGCGAAUACGAAAUAUUUUAUUGAAAAUUAAGGAACCGUAAGACGUAUUGAAAAGUUACAAAUUCCGCGCGUAAAUAUUGCACACAUCUAUUCUGUAUGAAAACAUACAUAUUUUCCAUAAAUGUCAAAUCAGGUUCAUUAAUUUACUUUGAAACUUUUAAUAGAUUACAGAGAGAAAUAAAUGACUUAUAAAACUACCAAUGCAUAUAUAUGUAUAUGUGCGUAAUUAUGUUUUAAGGACUAUCGCGUGUAAUCACAAGGGAUAUGUUUACUCAACGAUAAUUGAAAACAGACAGAUAAUCUCGUGCAAUAUAAAGUACAAAUGAAAUGAAAAACUACCAAAUUUUUAUUUUUAGUGAUUGAUAACUAUAUUUUUUUUUAAUAUCACAGUUAAUAUCGAAGUUUAAUCCACGAAAAAUGUUAAAUAUAUUAAAUAAUAAAUAACUGACGUACACUGACGACAUCAAAACUCUAAAAUCAGUUUCAUUACAUCAUCAUUCGUUACAUCGUAUUGACUGUGUCUCCAUCGUCUCCGUCGUCGUAAGUGCCAAUUUGUGCAAGUGCGACAAGGUCGUUUAUUUAAACGUUGUUAAACGUUCGAUAUCAGAAAGUCAAGUCGAUCGACUUAUAUACAUACAUGACCUACGCGUAUAAAACUUAGCAAGUA